rnacentral:rRNA from 1 species
AUACGGAAGGUCCGGGCGUUAUCCGGAUUUAUUGGGUUUAAAGGGAGCGCAGGCGGAGAUGCAAGCGUGACGUCAAAUUUCGGGGCUCAACCCCGUCUCGCGUCGCGAACUGCGUCCCUUGGUUGCGGGAAGGGGAGGCGGAACUCGUGGGGGAGCGGUGAAAUGCAUAGAUAUCACGAAGAACUCCGAUCGCGAAGGCAGCCUUCCGGCCCGUCAACGACGCUCAUGCUCGAAGGUGCGGGUAUCAAACAGGAUUAGAUACCCUGGUAGUCCGCACAGUAAACGAUGGACACCCGCGGUUUGGCCUGUAUGGCUGAGCCGCCAAGCGAAAGCGUUAAGUGUCCCACCUGGGGAGCACGCCGGCAACGGUGAAACUCAAAUGAAUUGACGGGG